AAAUUUGUGAGGCCGCCGCCAUGUCCUCUGUGUGUGUCUCUCUGCAGGAACAGUCAUUUAAGACAUUAUUUCGAUGGUACACUACACCGAUGAAAGUUUAUGGAAUGCAUAUUUUUGAAAAAGAGGUUAAACUGGGUAUUCUUAUUGGCUGGAUCUCUGGAGUAUUGGACACGAGUGGAACAAAACCUUCUCCAUAAAAUAAACCUAGCCACCAGGAGAGCUCUGGCCCAGGUGUGGUUACAGAGGGAAACGCCCACACUAUCCAUGGUGAUAGAAAACAAAUAAAGACACUUUCCUUAUGGCCAAACUAACAGCACAGGUUCGAGGGACAAUGAACAAGUUAGAAAGGACUUAGGGCCCUUGGAUGGCUAGCGCAACUAGCAAAUAAGGGAUGUAUGGGGUGGGCUCAGUCCCUCACACAUCCCAUUCAUCAUAUGAUAGAUACCGAAAUAUAGCUGCAUAUAGCUCAAAUCUCUGACUUUAAGGAUCCCCCUAGGAGAUAAUCUUUCACUGAAUUGUCCCAGUAAACGUACCUAAUAUUGCCCAUAGACUUGUCAGUGUCUCAUAAGUGGCACUGUGGUCGGCCCCACUAGACCAUCUCCCCCCACACCCCACCUUUUUUUCCCCCUCCUAUCUUCUAUCCUACUAUUCCUAUUCUUUCUC